GAUGAACGCUGGCCGCGUGCCUAAUACAUGCAAGUCGAGCGAACGGACGAGAAGCUUACUUUUCUGAUGUUAGCGGCGGACGGGUGAGUAACACGUGGAUAACCUACCUAUAAGACUGGGAUAACUUCGGGAAACCGGAGCUAAUACCGGAUAAUAUUUUGAACCGCAUGGUUCAAAAGUGAAAGACGGUCUUGCUGUCACUUAUAGAUGGAUCCGCGCUGCAUUAGCUAGUUGGUAAGGUAACGGCUUACCAAGGCAACGAUGCAUAGCCGACCUGAGAGGGUGAUCGGCCACACUGGAACUGAGACACGGUCCAGACUCCUACGGGAGGCAGCAGUAGGGAAUCUUCCGCAAUGGGCGAAAGCCUGACGGAGCAACGCCGCGUGAGUGAUGAAGGUCUUCGGAUCGUAAAACUCUGUUAUUAGGGAAGAACAUAUGCGUAAGUAACUGUGCACAUCUUGACGGUACCUAAUCAGAAAGCCACGGCUAACUACGUG
rnacentral:rRNA from 1 species